GACGAACGCUGGCGGCGUGCUUAGCACAUGCAAGUCGAACGGAAAGGCCCUGCUUUUGUGGGGUGCUCGAGUGGCGAACGGGUGUGUAACACGUGAGUAACCUGCCCUUGACUUUGGGAUAACUUCAGGAAACUGGGGCUAAUACCGGAUAGGAGCUCCUGCUGCAUGGUGGGGGUUGGAAAGUUUCGGCGGUUGGGGAUGGACUCGCGGCUUAUCAGCUUGUUGGUGGGGUAGUGGCUUACCAAGGCUUUGACGGGUAGCCGGCCUGAGAGGGUGACCGGCCACAUUGGGACUGAGAUACGGCCCAGACUCCUACGGGAGGCAGCAGUGGGGAAUAUUGCACAAUGGGCGGAAGCCUGAUGCAGCAACGCCGCGUGCGGGAUGACGGCCUUCGGGUUGUAAACCGCUUUCGCCUGUGACGAAGCGUGAGUGACGGUAAUGGGUAAAGAAGCACCGGCUAACUACGUG
rnacentral:rRNA from 1 species